CGGGAAACCGGAGCUAAUACCGGAUAACAUUUGGAACCGCAUGGUUCUAAAGUGAAAGAUGGUUUUGCUAUCACUUAUAGAUGGACCCGCGCCGUAUUAGCUAGUUGGUAAGGUAACGGCUUACCAAGGCGACGAUACGUAGCCGACCUGAGAGGGUGAUCGGCCACACUGGAACUGAGACACGGUCCAGACUCCUACGGGAGGCAGCAGUAGGGAAUCUUCCGCAAUGGGCGAAAGCCUGACGGAGCAACGCCGCGUGAGUGAUGAAGGGUUUCGGCUCGUAAAACUCUGUUAUUAGGGAAGAACAAACGUGUAAGUAACUGUGCACGUCUUGACGGUACCUAAUCAGAAAGCCACGGCUAACUACGUGCCAGCAGCCGCGGUAAUACGUAGGUGGCAAGCGUUAUCCGGAAUUAUUGGGCGUAAAGCGCGCGUAGGCGGUUUCUUAAGUCUGAUGUGAAAGCCCACGGCUCAACCGUGGAGGGUCAUUGGAAACUGGGAAACUUGAGUGCAGAAGAGGAAAGUGGAAUUCCAUGUGUAGCGGUGAAAUGCGCAGAGAUAUGGAGGAACACCAGUGGCGAAGGCGACUUUCUGGUCUGUAACUGACGCUGAUGUGCGAAAGCGUGGGGAUCAAACAGGAUUAGAUACCCUGGUAGUCCACGCCGUAACGAUGAGUGCUAAGUGUUA
rnacentral:rRNA from 1 species